rnacentral:rRNA from 2 species
ACCUUCGGGCCUGGCGCGAAUGAAUGAGCCGAUGCCCGAUUAGCUAGUUGGCGGGGUAAGAGCCCACCAAGGCGACGAUCGGUAGCUGGUCUGAGAGGAUGAUCAGCCACACUGGAACUGAGACACGGUCCAGACUCCUACGGGAGGCAGCAGUGGGGAAUAUUGGACAAUGGGCGCAAGCCUGAUCCAGCCAUACCGCGUGGGUGAAGAAGGCCUUCGGGUUGUAAAGCCCUUUUGUUGGGAAAGAAAAGCAGUCGGUUAAUACCCGAUUGUUCUGACGGUACCCAAAGAAUAAGCACCGGCUAACUUCG